rnacentral:tRNA from 1 species
GCGAAUAUGGCGAAGUGGUUAACGCACUAGUUUGUGGAACUAGCAUACGUGAGUUCAAUUCUCACUAUUCGCC